AACGAACGCUGGCGGCAGGCCUAACACAUGCAAGUCGAGCGGGCGUAGCAAUACGUCAGCGGCGGACGGGUGAGUAACACGUGGGAAUAUGCCUUUCGGUUUGGAACAACUCGGGGAAACCCGUGCUAAUUCCGGAUACGCCCUUAGGGGGAAAGGAUUUAUCGCCGAAAGAUUAGCCCGCGUCCGAUUAGCUAGUUGGUGAGGUAACGGCCUACCAAGGCGACGAUCAGUAGCUGGUCUGAGGGGAUGGCCAGCCACAUUGGGACUGAGACACGGCCCAGACUCCUACGGGAGGCAGCAGUGGGGAAGUAUUGCGCAAUGGACGAAAGUCUGACGCAGCGACGCCGCGUGUGGGAUGACGGUCUUCGGAUUGUAAACCACUGUCGGGAGGGACGAAUACGCCGC
rnacentral:rRNA from 1 species